UACGUAGGGUGCAAGCGUUAAUCGGAAUUACUGGGCGUAAAGCGUGCGCAGGCGGUUUUGUAAGUCUGACGUGAAAUCCCCGGGCUCAACCUGGGAACUGCAUUUGUGACUGCAUUGCUGGAGUGCGGCAGAGGGGGAUGGAAUUCCGCGUGUAGCAGUGAAAUGCGUAGAGAUGUGGAGGAACACCGAUGGCGAAGGCAGCCCCCUGGGUCAAGAUUGACGCUCAUGCACGAAAGCGUGGGGAGCAAACAGG
rnacentral:rRNA from 1 species